AUAUCCUCGGCGGCGGUGACUCUUGAUCAGACGUAAUUUGCGUAGUGUCUGCACCAACCACAUGUCACAAGCCUCAUGAACUUCGGAUUCUCGUACGCUUGAGUUUGUCCAUUAAGUAUUUGUUCAAUGGCCAAGCUCAUACCAACGUCCUUAGCAAGAUUAGUGCUUGCAUCGGUUGCAGCAUCUUCUAUAGGAUUGAUGGCUUUACCACCACCAGAAUGUUCUGCAACCACCACGCUUAUGAACAAUAAUGCAGUGAUUAGUAUGACUCUCAUUCUCUCCAUGAUUAGGUUUUCGU
rnacentral:sRNA from 1 species